rnacentral:rRNA from 1 species
UACGUAGGGUGCGAGCGUUAAUCGGAAUACUGGGCGUAAAGCGUGCGCAGGCGGUUAUGUAAGACAGUUGUGAAAUCCCCGGGCUCAACCUGGGAACUGCAUCUGUGACUGCAUAGCUAGAGUACGGUAGAGGGGGAUGGAAUUCCGCGUGUAGCAGUGAAAUGCGUAGAUAUGCGGAGGAACACCGAUGGCGAAGGCAAUCCCCUGGACCUGUACUGACGCUCAUGCACGAAAGCGUGGGGAGCAAACAGG